GUCACCAAUUUUGACUAGUUUUAUUAUUAACAAAUCAAAAAGAAAAAGCUAUCAUUUUUCUCUUCUCCUUCACCGAAAUAUGCAGCAAAGAAAGGGCUUUGAAGCUGGAAAAUUUCAGCAACAUAUUUCCCUUGCUUAUGAUGAAAAUCGAGAUUUGGACCUAGAACGGAAAGAAAUCGAUUAAGGGAUAAUUACGUUUUUUUUUUACCUUUGUGGUAUCGAGGUAAAAUUCUACUCAAAUGGAGGAAUACUUGAGAUGAAAGGGACGUAUUGGUAAAUGUUGUGAAAUGGAUACUUUGAACAGAGUUUCCAGGUUUGCUCGGGUUGGAGGCCGUCAGAGAUAUUAUCACACUGUCAAGCUAACGCUAUUGGUGUAGUGAUUUCAAGUACUUUGAGCCUACGGCAUGUGUAGGAGUUUAAAUAUUAGAGUAUGUGAUAUGGCUUUAAUCAUAUGUGUUGGCCUAUUUUGAUUAUGGGGUUGUAAAUCUAUUUUAAUUAUGCAUGCAUGUGCGAUGGUAUUAUGUGAUGAGUUUAUAAUGAUUAUAGUAUGAAUGUGGUAAA